rnacentral:rRNA from 1 species
ACGCACGCUGGCGGCAUGCCUAACACAUGCCAGUCGCACGAACCCUUCGGGGUUAGUGGCGCACGGGUGCGUAACGCGUGGGAAUCUGCCCUUUGCUUCGGAAUAACUCAGGGAAACUUGUGCUAAUACCGGAUGAUGUCUUCGGACCAAAGAUUUAUCGGCAAGGGAUGAGCCCGCGUAGGAUUAGGUAGUUGGUGGGGUAAAGGCCUACCAAGCCGACGAUCCUUAGCUGGUCUGAGAGGAUGAUCAGCCACACUGGGACUGAGACACGGCCCAGACUCCUACGGGAGGCAGCAGUGGGGAAUAUUGGACAAUGGGCGCAAGCCUGAUCCAGCAAUGCCGCGUGAGUGAUGAAGGCCCUCGGGUCGUAAAGCUCUUUUACCAGGGAUGAUAAUGACAGUACCUGGAGAAUAAGCUCCGGCUAACUCCGUG